rnacentral:rRNA from 1 species
UACAGAGGUCUCAACCGUUGUUCGGAUUCAUUGGGCGUAAAGGGUGCGUAGGCCGCAGGGUAAGUCAGGUGUGAAAUCUCGGGGCUCAACCCCGAAACUGCACUUGAUACUGCCUUGCUAGAGUACUGGAGAGGAGACUGGAAUUUACGGUGUAGCAGUGAAAUGCGUAGAUAUCGUAAGGAAGACCAGUGGCGAAGGCGAGUCUCUGGACAGUUACUGACGCUGAGGCACGAAGGCCAGGGGAG